GACGAACGCUGGCGGCGUGCCUAAUACAUGCAAGUCGAGCGGACGAUUGAAGAGCUUGCUCUUCAAUCGUUAGCGGCGGACGGGUGAGUAACACGUGGGCAACCUGCCUUAACGACUGGGAUAACUCCGGGAAACCGGGGCUAAUACCGGAUAACAUCUAGCACUUCCUGGUGCCAGAUUAAAAGAGGGCCUCUGGCUCUCACGUGAAGAUGGGCCCGGGGCGCAUUAGCUAGUUGGAGAGGUAACGGCUCCCCAAGGCGACGAUGCGUAGCCGACCUGAGAGGGUGAUCGGCCACACUGGGACUGAGACACGGCCCAGACUCCUACGGGAGGCAGCAGUAGGGAAUCUUCCGCAAUGGACGAAAGUCUGACGGAGCAACGCCGCGUGAGUGACGAAGGGUUUCGGCUCGUAAAGCUCUGUUAUGAGGGAAGAACAAGUGCCAUUCAAAUAGGUUGGCACCUUGACGGUACCUCAUCAGAAAGCCACGGCUAACUACGUGCCAGCCGCCGCCGUAA
rnacentral:rRNA from 1 species